UGUUGUAGUUUCCUGGUGUGUCAGUAGAGCUGCUGUCUGUCUGUCAGUGAAGACGCUGCGUGAGACUCGAUCUGACUCUCUUCUGCUGGGAUUGAGCUCUUCUGGAAACUGGACUUUAGAGAAAUGAUGCUGAUCUUUGGACUGAUGCUGCUGCUGCAAACUGCUGCAUGUGUGGAGUGGAACUGCAGUUUUAAUCAAUCAGAUCCCUGUUACGCAGCCCUGGGAGACAAACUCAAUCUGCUGAUGGUCCGGGAUGCCAGUGAAUAUGACCUGAAUUUAAAAAAGAGAAUAAACAACACACAAGAUGAUCAAGUUUGUAGAGUAAAAUAUGGCAGGAUAAAGGAAUGUGAUCUUUAUAAUAACAGAACUGAAGUGACAGUCAUUAAUGGGACUGUUAUAAUAAACCGUGUGAUCAGAGCAGAUUCUGGAAAUUACAGAUUAACACUCACCGAACACUCAGGUGGCACAGAAACAUCUAGAGAUCUUCAAGUGAUUGUUGAAGCUCCAGUUGCCUCAGUGGAAGUGUCAAUCAGCUGCUCCUCCAAUCAGAGGUCAGUGUCCUGCUCCUCAGAGGGGGAUCAGCUCCUCUACAGCUGGACUCUGAAUGGAGAUCCACUGAUGGAUGGAAACAGCAGCAUUGAUCUGGAUGAGGGAACUGAUGGAAACAUCAGCUGCAGCGUGAAGAACCACGUCAGUCACACACAGAAGACCAUUAGAAUCAAAACCUGUCCUGGUCCAGAUCGUUUUUGCAGUUUUUAUCAAUCAGAUUCCUGUUACGCAGCUGUGGGAGACGAUCUUAAUCUACUGAUGGUGCGGGAUGCUCGAGAUCAAGAGCUGCAUUUGUAUAAGGAGUUAAUGGAUAGCAGAGAACUGGAAGUUUUUAGAAUAAAGAACAAAAAAGAGAAAAAACAUGAAUCCAUCAGAAACAGAUCUGAGUUCAUCUUUGAUAAUGGGACUCUGAUAAUAAACCGUGUGAUCAGAGCAGAUUCAGGGAAUUACAGAUUAGAAUUCUAUCACUCAGACGGUUUAAGACCGUUUAAAAAGCUUCUUCGUAUUAAUAUUGAAGGUACAGAAACUCUCUUAUGAGACCCAUUCCAAUCUCAUGUUCUCCAAAGAUCCCACUCUCAUGCAAAUUAAUCUGUGUCAUGUGACUGAUGUGACUCUCCCUCCAGCUCCUACUGGCUCAGUGGAAAUGUCAAUCAGCUGCUCCUCCAAUCAGAGGUCAGUGUCCUGCUCCUCUGAGGGCGAUCAGAUCAGCUACAGCUGGACUUUGAAUGGAGAAAUACUAGAACAAGGACCAAUGGAUGGAAUCACCACCAUUCAGCUAAAUGAGGGAACUGAUGGAAACAUCAGCUGCAGUGUCAAGAACCACAUCAGUCACGCACAGAAGACAAUUAAAGUCAAACCCUGUCCUGGUGAGAUCAUUUCUGUGAAUCAGAUAUCAACAACAUGUGUCUAUCAAAAUAUCUAAUAUCAUGAUUUAAACACUUAUGCUGAAGUGUGGGAAUUACUAUACAAUAUCUCUUUUUCUGUCACUAGAAUGUAUCUAGGCUAUUGAACAUAUUUUCUAUUGAAGAGUGUUAUGUGGUGUGCAAUUAUUUGUAAGUAAACUCACAGCUAUAAAGCAGUUCUGUCCACCACAUUACAGUUCCACAUCACUUCACCAAAUGAUUUUAGUUAUUUCAGAGUCCUCACAACAGCAAAUGAACCAAAACCCACAAAGACACUGAAACAGCUAAGAAGUAUGACUAAAAAUAGGAGAUUUUUUUUUCCAAUAAGUUAACUUCAUUAUCACCUAUGGGAAGUGUGCUUUCAUCCAUCUUCUCUCUCGCACACAAACAUGAACUUGCACACAUGCAGUUGACUGAAAAACAUGACAUUUCUCCCUAGCGAGGUAAUGAUGGCACUGUUCUUGAAGCAGAUAAACUUACAGUUUCGCUAUUAGUGGAAACGCUGCUUCUGAACUCUUAAUCCUCUUAAUUGGGGAAGUUGGGGAAGUCGUGGACUAGUGGUUAGAGAGUUUGACUCCUAACCCUAAGGUUGUGGUUCGAGUCUCGGGCCGGCAUACACGACUGAGGUGCCCUUGAGCAAAGCACCGAAGCCCCAGCUGCUCCCCGGGCACCGCAACAUAAAUGGCUGCCCACUGCUCCGUGUGUGUGUUCACGUUGGAUGGGUUAAAUGCAGAGCACAAAUUCUGAGUAUGGGUCACCAUACUUAGCUGUAUGUCACUUCACUUUUUUUUCAAUCUUUCACAUUACUGUUGGUUGACUUUAUGCCACUCCUGGUGCAAAAACUCAAGCAGCUACGCUUUAAGUAGAAACCAUUGACCCACACUCACCCUCUCUGAAAAGCUUCCUCUUUCUUUGUUAAAGUGUUGUAGUUUCCUGGUGUGUCAGUAGAGCUGCUGUCUGUCUGUCAGUGAAGACGCUGCGUGAGACUCGAUCUGACUCUCUUCUGCUGGGAUUGAGCUCUUCUGGAGACUGGACUUUAGAGAAAUGAUGCUGAUCUUUGGACUGAUGCUGCUGCUGCAAACUGCUGCAUGUAAGACACUUUCACAUCAAACUCAUAAAUUUCUCAAAUAAAUACACUAAUAUUAUACA
ensembl:lncRNA